UACGUAGGGUGCAAGCGUUAAUCGGAAUUACUGGGCGUAAAGCGUGCGCAGGCGGUUUUGUAAGACAGAUGUGAAAUGCCCGGGCUUAACCUGGGAACUGCAUUUGUGACUGCAUGGCUGGAGUGCGGCAGAGGGGGAUGGAAUUCCGCGUGUAGCAGUGAAAUGCGUAGAUAUGCGGAGGAACACCGAUGGCGAAGGCAAUCCCCUGGGCCUGCACUGACGCUCAUGCACGAAAGCGUGGGGAGCAAACAGG
rnacentral:rRNA from 1 species